rnacentral:rRNA from 1 species
AAAUUGAAGAGUUUGAUCAUGGCUCAGAUUGAACGCUGGCGGCAGGCCUAACACAUGCAAGUCGAGCGGUAGCACAGAGAGCUUGCUCUCGGGUGACGAGCGGCGGACGGGUGAGUAAUGUCUGGGAAACUGCCUGAUGGAGGGGGAUAACUACUGGAAACGGUAGCUAAUACCGCAUAACGUCGCAAGACCAAAGUGGGGGACCUUCGGGCCUCAUGCCAUCAGAUGUGCCCAGAUGGGAUUAGCUAGUAGGUGGGGUAACGGCUCACCUAGGCGACGAUCCCUAGCUGGUCUGAGAGGAUGACCAGCCACACUGGAACUGAGACACGGUCCAGACUCCUACGGGAGGCAGCAG